GAAGAAACACGUAUUUUUAAAGAAAUCCCUUGGUGUUUGUCUGCUUCAGGUGCAUUUCUCACCCUGAACCAGAGUACCCUGGUGUUCUGUGCCCACCA